rnacentral:rRNA from 1 species
AUGCAUAAACUCAGCAACUACGUAAUCUAGUCUGCCCAUCGGCUCAGGGUUAACGGGCUCGCAGUCAUUUGACUGUACGAGGGUGCCAUAAUCAUUAGUCUUUUAAUUGAAGACUUGUAUGAGGGAUUUGAUGAGAUAUAAACUGUCUCUAAUUUAAUAAUAUAAUUUAAUUUUUUAGUUAAAAAACUAAAAUAAUUUUAAAAGACGAUAAGACCCUAUAGAGUUUAAUGGUUGAAAAUGAAAAUAUUUCUAUAAAAUCUAAUUACUCUAUUUUAAAAAUUAUUUUAUUGGGGGGAUAAAAAAAUUAAAACAACUGUUUUUUUAAUAAACAUUAAUAAUUGAUUAAUUGAUCCAGAAUUAUGAUUAAAAAAAAAAAUUACCUUAGGGAUAACAGCGUAAACCUCUGACCAAACGUGACCCGGCUCCCCGAAGCCGAUCACGAACCAAGUUACCUUAGGGAUAACAGCGUAGAGCCUGUCUCUAAUUUAAUAAUAUAAUUU